rnacentral:rRNA from 1 species
GAUGAACGCUGGCCGCGUGCCUAAUACAUGCGAGUCGAGCGAAUGGAUUAAGAGCUUGCUCUUAUGAAGUUAGCGGCGGACGGGUGAGUAACACGUGGGUAACCUGCCCAUAAGACUGGGAUAACUCCGGGAAACCGGGGCUAAUACCGGAUAAUAUUUUGAACUGCAUGGUUCAAAAUUGAAAGGCGGCUUCGGCUGUCACUUAUGGAUGGACCCGCGUCGCAUUAGCUAGUUGGUGAGGUAACGGCUCACCAAGGCAACGAUGCGUAGCCGACCUGAGAGGGUGAUCGGCCACACUGGGACUGAGACACGGCCCAGACUCCUACGGGAGGCAGCAGUAGGGAAUCUUCCGCAAUGGACGAAAGUCUGACGGAGCAACGCCGCGUGAGUGAUGAAGGCUUUCGGGUCGUAAAACUCUGUUGUUAGGGAAGAACAAGUGCUAGUUGAAUAAGCUGGCACCUUGACGGUACCUAACCAGAAAGCCACGGCUAACUACGUGCCAGCCGCCGCGGUAA